CCCGCUCCGCCCCGCCCGGCGCUGCCGUACACCGCCGCCGCGCCUACCCCUGCCUCCUGCUCCUGCUACCAUGGCACCGCCAGGACUCCUCCCCACUGCUUCCACCUCGACAAUGGUUUCCCCAACCCCGCCGGCUUCGCCACCAGCCACUCCUUCAUCCACAAUAAUCAUAGGAGACAGCUACACGGGCGAGCCUACGAGCAAGACCUCGACGGCGCUGGCGGUGGAAGACCGCGGAUGUGAGGGCGCUUGGAAGGCCGCGGUGCCGCGAUUAAGUCAUGAGGACCGCGGCGGCAGCAGUCAAAAUCUUCAUGAAGUCUCUCCGCUUACCCUCCCUCGGUCUGAUUUCUCUCCAAUCUUUGAAUCCCCUCAGUUUGAACUAAUGCCAUGUAUUUUCAGAACAGUUAGUGAAUCAUUUGUCAGUUGAAAGAUGGUUGAUGCACCAAAAAAGAUUGUAUUGAUUCAAUCUGGAAAAGUCAAGAUCACAAUAGCUUUCAGAACAAUUAGUGAAUCAUUUGUCAGUUGAAAGAUGGUUGAUGCACCAAAAAAGAUUGUAUUGAUUCAAUCUGGAAAAGUCAAGAUCACAAUAGCAAUUACAUAUGCAUUUGUUGGGCCAAAAGUAGCAGUUACAUAUGCAUUUAGUUAAUCUUUUGGCCUAUCACCGUUUCAUGCAUUUUUGGUGGACUUUCAUUUGACCUUGAGUGUUGACUUGCUUUUCUGUUGCUAACAAUGUCCGGCUUGCCGAAUGUACUUGCUUAUCCUUGUACUGGAGUACCAUUGAUUCACCAUAUACACACUUUCCAAUUCUGUCUGUUUACUAUCUAGGAGUCAGACCAUGGCUGCACGGAGCAGGUCCACCCACUAGGGGCUGGCCGCUGUGUCCGCCAUGAGGAUUCCUGCACUAAGCCUUGCCGGCGUUCCCGGCCACCAAGGUACUUCUACUUAUGUGUCUCUAUAAGAUUCCUGCAUAUGUUUUUGUGCUUUCCACUUAAUGCAUUGUUAGCUCUAUGUUACACUUCUUUUAGGUUCUUCCUGCUCCAGGAUUUUCUUUGUGCGAAAAUCAAUAUACAUAGGCAUAUUUGCCCAUGAAGCUGCUCUGGUUUUUCUUUUAGAGUUUACUCCCAUUUACUUGUGUCGUUAUACAAUAAUAACAGAAUUGAUAUCGAUUAAACUUCUUUGAGUUUCUUGAAAUUUAAUGAUUUCCCAUGGAAUAUGAAGUUUGAGAAUGACACCUGCUGAGCUGAAAAUAAUCUAGCGAGCAAUAGUAUAAUGAAUAGUUAUUACCGUAUCGGCAUCACAUUGCUCAUGGGUGAAUAACACAACAAUAAACUAGAAAAAUGGAAAUGCUCUGUUUGGUUUGGGUACCAUGCAGGAAAGUAGUUAACAGAGAUAGACUAUUUGACAGUUGCAGAGUGACACCACCACCACAUAUGAAGCAGAGAGUUUGUAAAGAGACACUAAAUAAUCAUCUGGAGUGAGACACUAAUUGCUUUCUUGUGUAGUGAAGACGAUCUUUUUUGGGGUGUAAUAUAACUAUGGCAGCUCUCUGGAGUGAGAAUGUCGAGGCCCUAAAAAACAGCCAUCGACACGGAGUUCCUGCCAUUAAGGAUAAAAAAGCUAGCAGAGAAACAGCUUGGGGAAUCACAAGCUUAUCUUGCCUUUUGAAUGUGCAGCCUGUAACCAGAGAAGCUUGUUCUAAUUAUUGUAUGCUUAUUUUCCCCGAGCUGUUUCUCUGCUAACUAUUAUUCUCAAGCAACUACCAAACUAUGGAUAGAAGAAGUCUUAACAUGGAGCUAUUCUUUACCUAAUAAUAAAGAGAAUUGGGUUUCUGCCGUCCGUCGUUCGCUUUUGCAAAAAGACCCUUCUCUUUUUCGGAAAUUGAACCCGCACUCUCUACCGCACUCCCUACGUAAGUGGCUCUGGGGAAAACGAUUCGGUAAAAAAAAUCCCUUUCGCGUAUCCUCUGUUUCUUGGUAUUCAGACCGGCAGUUGGAGGCGGCCACGGCGAACGGGGUGGACGAGGUGGCGGAGCAGGGGCCCCGGCGAGUGGGGAGCUGGAGGCACAGCGCAUCCCGGCACUGCACAGGGACUACGAGCCGGCGGCGCACCUGUCACCAACCAGCGCAGACCCCGAGGCCGUGCGGACGAGGAAGGAGAGAAUCAGGAUGAGGAGGAUGUCGCUGCGGCAGCGAAGGUAGCCAGCAGCCUGAUGAAGCAUCUACGGCCCAGCUUCUCCGGUGCGCCAUCCGGAGAUGGGACGGACGGAUCGAGGCGAAGGAUGAUGGAGAGGUGGUCGGAGGCGGCGAGCUCCAAGGCAGGCGGGCUGCUGCGGUUCCAGAUGGACGACGGCUUCGCGGGCGGCUGGGCCGAAUCAGCUGCCGUGGCCCAAGCGGCGGACGAACGGGCGCUCCUCUCGUCGUCCUCCUCCCAACGGCAGGCCAGUCAGGCGGCAGGAGCUUCUCCGUUCUGCUUGGCGACCUCAAGGUCCCGCUCUUCGGGGCGCUGCUCCAGCGGGGGCCGGCGUGGUUUGAGGACGUGCUGCGGGCGCCGAUGGCUACCGCGCCCCGGAGGUGGUGGACGCGCGGCGACACUCUCUGGGCGUGCUCUUGCUGGAGCUCCUCAACGGCAAGUCCCUGACGCACGCGUCGCUGCAGGAUGGUGACGGCAGCACGCUGGACCUGCCGCGGUUGGUGCAGUCGGUGGUGCGCGAGGAGUGCACGGCCGAGGUGAUUGGCGUGGAGCUGGUGCGGCUAGGCGCCGCGCCGAGGAGAAGAUGGACUCGCUACCGCAGGCACCGGCGAAGCUACGACAGCGAGCUUCAGUUAUCUGAAUUUUCGGUUCAGUGUCCACAACAGCGAGCUUCAAUUAUCUGAAUUUUCAGUGCAGUGUCGUGAUUUGGAUGGACGCCCGAACACAACAGCGAGGCCAGCUUCAGUUCUCUGAAUCUUCAGUGAAGUGUCGUGAUUUGGAUGGAAUUGGAGACCGUGUCCUUCUCCAACAUAAGUCAAUUUCCAAUGUAAUCGAGUUCGAGUCUCUGUUCUUCUCGAAGGCAAAAGCAUGUAGUGCCCGACCCGGAUUGGACUUGGCUGUCAUAAGGAGGGUUCCUCGACCGGAACGUCCAUCAGGCCGCGUCCCUCGACCAGAAUCUCCAUCAAAUCCCAUCACAUUGCAACUUUCAGAGGAACAUCCAAUGUCGCUGGCGGAGGAAAAUCAUCCGUCCAGCGGUACUAUGCUGAGUUCGCCGGCGGAAGAACACCCGUCGAGCCCUCCAUCGCCUGAGGCGGCUACAACAGAGUGAUGGGAGGUAGAUUGAGCUGAUAAAUUUCUGCACCCACCUUGAGGUCCAUAACGUUCUCCUAAUUAUAUGCAGCCCAAUUCGUAUAGAUGUAUUUGUUUGAGGGAGAGGACUAUCUGUGAUCAGAAGCAACAGUAUGUGAUCAUCAUGUGUGCGAGAGAUGGCAGGAGUAUGUGAUAUGUAUUUCUGUGUACACUACUAAUAUUUAUUGACUGUUCAUGUUGGUACAGUAGGUUCAUGAUUGCUUAUGGAAACAAUAAAAUUACUUGAGGAGGAUUUUAUGAGUAUGUACUUUGAGACUUGAGAGGCUGUUAUUGACAUGGAUUCUCUGUCUACUAGAGAGGCUGAUGUCAAAUCAACAUUGGAACAAGGGAAAUAGAAGUGGAAUGAGAUGAAGUCCUAUUGAUACCUGUAAUUCAUUGAUUAACUCAAAACAAAUGAUACUAGACAUCAACUACUGCAAUUGAUCCAUGAAUAUUUGUUA